rnacentral:rRNA from 1 species
AACGAACGCUGGCGGCAGGCCUAACACAUGCAAGUCGAGCGAGGACUUCGGUCCUAGCGGCGGACGGGUGAGUAACGCGUGGGAACGUGCCCUUUGCUUCGGAAUAGCCCUGGGAAACUGGGAGUAAUACCGGAUGAGCCCUUUGGGGGAAAGAUUUAUCGGCGAAGGAUCGGCCCGUGUUGGAUUAGGUAGUUGGUGGGGUAAUGGCCUACCAAGCCGACGAUCCAUAGCUGGUUUGAGAGGAGGAUCAGCCACACUGGGACUGCGACACGGCCCAGACUCCUACGGGAGGCAGCAGUGGGGAAUCUUAGACAAUGGGGGAAACCCUGAUCUAGCCAUGCCGCGUGUGCGAUGAAGGCCUUAGGAUUGUAAUGCUCUUUCAGCUGGGAAGAUAAUGACGGUACCAGCAGAAGAAGCCCCGGCUAACUCCGUG